UACGUAGGGUGCAAGCGUUAAUCGGAAUUACUGGGCGUAAAGCGUGCGCAGGCGGUUAUGUAAGACGGAUGUGAAAUGCCCGGGCUUAACCUGGGAACUGCAUUUGUGACUGCAUGGCUAGAGUUUGGCAGAGGGGGGUAGAAUUCCACGUGUAGCAGUGAAAUGCGUAGAUAUGUGGAGGAACACCGAUGGCGAAGGCAGCCCCCUGGGUCAAGACUGACGCUCAUGCACGAAAGCGUGGGGAGCAAACAGG
rnacentral:rRNA from 1 species